GGCCUGGUGGCGUAAUGGUAACACACUUGCUUCACUUAUUUUGCAAGGGUUACAGAUUUAAGCUGGGGUUCCUUGUUCGAUUCAAGGUCAGGCCA